AUUUUACUACUUGCGCCUGAUUGGUUGGAUUGUUGUCAAUGACGGAGCAUCCAUUUUGGAUUACAUAGACAAAAUACCUUACGUUAGUGUCAGUCCACAUGGUCAAGAUGGAACGUCGUCCACGUAGAGAUGAUGACUGUGGAGAUCCACAACAUAAUCCAGCACGGGAAAGACAAUGGGUAAGCGACAGCGAUUCCUCGGAAUCUGAAGGAGUUAACUAUUCGACUGCAAGAAGUGACCGCGGAAGAGCAGUACGAGGAUCGUCUGCAGGUAGUUCUCAUGAACGAGGAAGGUCAGUAGUCAGUGUGCCGUCGUCGUCAAUAUCCCUUUAAAAAGUAUGGUUGGAACAGCAAUUUCAACCAAAAACACUCAAUAUAUUAGAGCCGUCUUAUGUGCCAAAUGAUACCGAACAAAAUUCGAAAGUUGAUUAGUUGAGCUACUAUGAUGGAUCUCUGUGAAGACUGAAUUAUUAAAUUCAAUAAAAGUUUGAUUAUACGUA